AGUGGCAGACGGGUGAGUAACAUGUAGGUAUCUACCCUUUGGCCUGGAAUAACACGAGGAAACUUGUGCUAAUACCGGAUAAGUCUUUACGGAGAAAGCUUUAUGCACCAUUGGAUGAGCCUGCACUUGAUUAGUUUGUUGGUGGGGUAAUGGCCUACCAAGACUGAGAUCAAUAGCUGAUUUGAGAGGAUGAUCAGCCACAUUGGGACUGAGACACGGCCCAAACUCCUACGGGAGGCAGCAGUGGGGAAUCUUGCACAAUGGAGGAAACUCUGAUGCAGCGAUGCCGCGUGAGUGAAGAAGGCCUUUGGGUUGUAAAGCUCUUUCGUCGGGGAAGAAAAUGACUGUACCCGAAUAAGAAGGUCCGGCUAACUUCGUGCCAGCAGCCGCGGUAAUACGAAGGGACCUAGCGUAGUUCGGAAUUACUGGGCUUAAAGAGUUCGUAGGUGGUUGAAAAAGUUGGUGGUGAAAUCCCAGAGCUUAACUCUGGAACUGCCAUUAAAACUUUUCAGCUAGAGUAUGAUAGAGGAAAGCAGAAUUUCUAGUGUAGAGGUGAAAUUCGUAAAUAUUAGAGAGAAUACCAAUUGCGAAGGCAGCUUUCUGGAUCAUUACUGACACUGAGGAACGAAAGCAUGGGUAGCGAAGAGGAUUAGAUACCCUCGUAGUCCAUGCCGUAAACGAUGUGUGUUAGACGUUGGAAAUUUAUUUUCAGUGUCGCAGCGAAAGCGAUAAACUCACCGCCUGGGGAGUAC
rnacentral:rRNA from 1 species